rnacentral:rRNA from 1 species
CAGCAGCCACGGUAAUACCGAGGGUGCAAGCGUUAAUCGGAAUUACUGGGCGUAAAGCGCGCGUAGGUGGUUUGUUAAGUUGGAUAUGAAAUCCCCGGGCUCAACCUGGGAACUGCAUCCAAAACUGGCAAGAUAGAGUAUGGUAGAGGGUGGUGGAAUUUCCUGUGUAGCGGUGAAAUGCGUAGAUAUAGGAAGGAACACCAGUGGCGAAGGCGACCACCUGGACUGAUACUGACACUGAGGUGCGAAAGCGUGGGGAGCAAACAGGAUUAGAUACCCCCGUAGUCCCUGUCUCUUAUAC